AUGAUCACACUCUUUGUCGCGCUUUACUCUCUUUUUUCUCUCUGCACAGCUGGAAACACUUCUGACAUCAAGGAGCUUCAUGUGAAAACAGUAAAGCGUGGAGAAGAUGUAACUAUGGAGUGUAGCAUGAGCAAGGUCAAAAACAAAUAUAAUUUAGCUUGGUACAGACAGAGUUUUGGAAAAGUGCCUCAGUAUUUUGUAAGACGUUACGGGCAAAGUAAUUACACAUUUGCAGAGGGAUUUAAAGAUAGCCGCUUCAGUAUGACUGUAAAUGACCAGAAGUUUGAUCUCAACAUUAUCGGAACGAGAGAAGAUGAUGGAGGAGAAUAUUUCUGUGGAGAACUGGAGGGAACUGCACUAAAGUUCACAUCUGGAACACGUCUGCAAUUUGAAGGUGAAGAGAUGAAACACUGUCCUACACCUGGAACGGUUAACAACAACACAGAUUCUGUUACAGGGUCCAAUGAGGGUUCAAAGAGCAGUGACGGAAAAGGUGCUUCAUCAAGAAACCAUCAAACUCCCACCAAUCAGGCUGAUGAUGAAGAUGUCUUGAACUAUGCAGCUGUGAGUUUUGCUAAGAAACCUUCAUCCUCCAGAACAUCCAGAGACAAGAGCCAUGAAGACGUUUAUGCACAAGUUAAAAUAAAAUAGAUAAAGACAAAUGACUUCAGACUUGAAACACAACCAAAAUGUAAGUGUUAAUGCCGUUUCCAUGGUGACUCCUAACAUCAUUCAUCUACUGAUUUGCUUCACUUGAUGGAUGUAGCUUUAAAAAAUAUUUCUGAUCAAAAUCCUACAUCCUGCUGUUUUUUUCUUUCUUGAAUGAAAGUCUUAUAUUUGGGAUUUUUUCUCAGCAUUUUCUCUUGCACAUGAUUUCUAGAAUGUAAAAGAACAUUUUGUUUGAUUCUGAAGGUUAAAGUAUUAAAGAACGGCUCAUGGUUCAC